CUGUUUAUUCAAAAACAUGGCUCUCUGAAUAAAAGAUAGGGGGUCAGGCCUGCCCGGUGGGUUUCUUAACGGUCGCAGCUUUUACUGUGCUAAGGUAGCGUAAUAGGUCGUCCUUUAAUUGGGGAAAAGUAUGAAUGGUCAGAUGGUGGAAAAACUUUAUUGGAAAUAAUAGCUUGAAAUUUACUUCUUAGUGCAAAGGCUAAGAUAAAUUUACUAGACGAGAAGACCCUGUUGAGCUUAAUAUGGUGCAGUCUUUACUGGUUGUAAGGUACGUUUAUUCGGGGCCGAAAGGAAGGGACAGGUAUUCCUUCUUGGUGUUGUGCGGAUCCAACAUGGUUGAAAAGAAGAAGAAGUUACCACAGGGAUAACAGCGCAAUCUCCUUGUCAAGGCCAUAUUUGAGGGUGGGUUUGCGACCUCGAUGUUGAAUCAGAAUUUCUACUGGGUGUAGCAGCUUGGUAAGUGGGACUGUUCGUCUUUUGAAAUUUUACGUGAUCUGAGUUCAGA
rnacentral:rRNA from 1 species